GCUUACGGCCACACCGCCUGGUUCACGCCCGAUCUCGUUUUAUCUCGGAAGCUAAGAUAGGGUGGGCCUGGUUAGUACUUGGAUGGGAGACCGCCUGGGAAUACCAGGUGCUGUAAGAU
ensembl:rRNA 5S_rRNA 5S ribosomal RNA